rnacentral:rRNA from 1 species
CGGAACGGGUGAGUAAUGCGUGACCAACCUGCCCCAUGCUCCAGAAUAGCUCUUGGAAACGGGUGGUAAUGCUGGAUGCUCCAACUUGACGCAUGUCUUGUUGGGAAAGUGUUUAGUGGCAUGGGAUGGGGUCGCGUCCUAUCAGCUUGUAGGCGGGGUAAUGGCCCACCUAGGCUUCGACGGGUAGCCGGCCUGAGAGGGCGGACGGCCACAUUGGGACUGAGAUACGGCCCAGACUCCUCGGGAGGCAGCAGGG